rnacentral:rRNA from 1 species
GUAAGGAAUAUUGGUCAAUGGGCGAAAGCCUGAACCAGCCAUGCCGCGUGAGGGAUGAAGGUCCUCUGGAUUGUAAACCUCUUUUAUCUGGGAAUAAACGUCCUGUUUCUACGGGAUUUGAAGGUACCAGAUGAAUAAGCACCGGCUAACUCCGUGCCAGCAGCCGCGGUAAUACGGAGGGUGCAAGCGUUAUCCGGAUUCACUGGGUUUAAAGGGUGCGUAGGUUGAUGGGUAAGUCAGUGGUGAAAUACUCCCGCUCAACGGGAGAACUGCCGUUGAUACUAUUCAUCUUGAAUGCGGUGGAGGCGGGCGGAAUGUGUCAUGUAGUGGUGAAAUACUUAGAUAUGACACAGAACACCCAUUGCGAAGGCAGCUCGCUACGCCGUGAUUGACACUGAGGCACGAAAGCGUGGGGAUCAAACAGGAUUAGAAACCCCGGUAGUCC